GAACUCUGGCUGUGACCUGUUACCUUUGUUUCUGGGACGUACACAAGAGCAAAUAUCAGCCUCUUAGAGAACUGUCUGCUUUAAUCUAAAUAAACAGAUUUUUGCACCGACCUUCUCUGUAGUUGUGUGGAAACCAACCUCAGUGGGGAGACAGCUUUGGGGAAGGAGGAAUCGGAUCAAGCUGAUAUGAACAAACAAGCCACCCCCGGUUCAGUAUCCCAUCAUGGCUGCUGUUCCAGGAACAAGAGAUUUGCCAAUCUCAGCUGCCAGUGCUGGGAUUGGCAAAGCGCUGGGAGCCUGUCAUCUGUGCCAUCCAGGAUAUGGACCACUGGGUGCACACCGCUGUGUCCAGCCUGCCGGGCUCUCACCUUGUCACCUCUGCACAGUUUUCUGAAGAUAAGUCUCAGUAAUAGAGAGACUCAGCUGCAUACAGGGAAACUGUCAGAGCAGAUGAAGAUGAAGAGCUGGCUUCUGAGAGAGCCACUACAGUGAUCUUGGCUGUUUCCACAUUAUGUCAAAGCAUGUGCACUUUUGCUGCAAAUACAAACCACUGUAUUGGAAAAGAAAAUGUAUGUCUCCUUUUAAAAUUAUUUAUUUCAAUAAUUUAUUUGUUUACUUAUUUAGAAUCCUUGUGUUCACAGUCAGAGAAAGCACCCUUGGUCACUAUGGAGACUGUUGUGGAUAUGAGCUUUGAUGAUGGUCUGAAAUAGCUGCAGCAGAGAGGAGUGAAGGAUUCUGGGAAGGAGGCAUUCCUGGUUUCAGGUCUGUGACUGCACUCUUUUGGCCCAUGUGGUCUCUGAGGUAGGCGAUAAACAAAAAAAUCUGAUAAAUAAAAGAUGCUGUGCGGUACAUUAAUGAAAUGUUAUAAGCUAACUGUAACCACACUGGAUGCUAUGAGGAAGGACGAUCUCAUGGCCCAAGUAUGAUAAUGCGCAAAACCUCUCUGAGGACUUGACAACUGCUGGAAAAAUCAUCAUGCUGUAGAAAUGUAUCUGCGCUCUCGUUAGAGCAGGGGUCACCAAUCAUGUGCCAUGGAGGGCCGAGAGGCUGCAGGUUUUCAAGACCUCCACCAGGUGACUUCACUG
rnacentral:lncRNA from 1 species